UUUGGCCACGUACAUGCGAAUCU
rnacentral:piRNA from 1 species